CGUUAUAUAAAACAAAUAAUGUUUUUUUUUUUUCCAUUCUUUCAAUGGAAGGACUAUUUGAUUCGGUGAAAGCUGGCAGGUACCAUUCAACUCGGAUUUGCCUCUUUGAAUGGACAUUCCAUCUUUCACCUCAUGAAAUAUUUUUUGUACACUGUAAAUAAAUACAAAUGUUUAUUAUAAAUGC